UAUAAGAGAGUGCUCCCUCAC
rnacentral:piRNA from 1 species